GAAGGAGUGGCUGAGUGGUUUAAAGCACCUGUCUUGAAAAUAGGCAUACGAAUAGUAUCGUGGGUUCGAAUCCCACCUCCUUCA
rnacentral:tRNA from 1 species